AAGCACAACCUAUCCUUACGAUCACUAACAUUAACCAACCUGUACAGCUGUUUUGAAUUUUUUUCCAUUGUGCAAAAGUUUCCCCAGCCUUAGAAAACACUUUAUGGAUUGUCAUAUCAGCACUCAAAGUCAGUCUAAACAGCCGAGGGAACUGCUCUGACAAAGUUUCGCCCCGAAUCCAAUCAUUCCAAAACAGAGUGUGCUUACCAUUCCCAAUUAAUCUUCUACAAUAACUAAGACUAGCUGAAUGCCCAUGCGUUGCAACGGAAUGAUAUACUCAAAAGAAAAAAAGGUAACAAAAGCAAUGGUAGUGAUCGAUAAUAAGUCAAUACUACAGUUUACAUCCCGACAAUAUAUGAACAUAGGCCAUUCACCUCGGCACAUUCAUAAAAUUUCUUGUGAAUAUGUAUUACAGAAAAGAAAAAAGCACAAAAAAUACUCGAGUUAUGUAUAAUAGAAUCAUGCUGUCAAAUCCACCUCAUUGGAGAUGAUGGGCUUGAGUAGCUCAUACCGUUUUUUCCAUGAACC
rnacentral:lncRNA from 1 species